GAUGAACGCUGGCGGCGUGCCCAAUACAUGCAAGUCGAGCGAACGGACGAGAAGCUUGCUUCUCUGAUGUUAGCGGCGGACGGGUGAGUAACACGUGGAUAACCUACCUAUAAGACUGGGAUAACUUCGGGAAACCGGAGCUAAUACCGGAUAAUAUUUUGAACCGCAUGGUUCAAAAGUGAAAGACGGUCUUGCUGUCACUUAUAGAUGGAUCCGCGCUGCAUUAGCUAGUUGGUAAGGUAACGGCUUACCAAGGCAACGAUGCAUAGCCGACCUGAGAGGGUGAUCGGCCACACUGGAACUGAGACACGGUCCAGACUCCUACGGGAGGCAGCAGUAGGGAAUCUUCCGCAAUGGGCGAAAGCCUGACGGAGCAACGCCGCGUGAGUGAUGAAGGUCUUCGGAUCGUAAAACUCUGUUAUUAGGGAAGAACAUAUGUGUAAGUAACUGUGCACAUCUUGACGGUACCUAAUCAGAAAGCCACGGCUAACUACGUG
rnacentral:rRNA from 1 species